rnacentral:rRNA from 1 species
CAGUCGCCACGGUAAAACGUAGGUGGCAAGCGUUGUCCGGAAUUAUUGGGCGUAAAGGGCUCGCAGGCGGUUUCUUAAGUCUGAUGUGAGAGCCCCCGGCUCAACCGGGGAGGGUCAUUGGAAACUGGGAAACUUGAGUGCAGAAGAGGAGAGUGGAAUUCCACGUGUAGCGGUGAAAUGCGUAGAGAUGUGGAGGAACACCAGUGGCGAAGGCGACUCUCUGGUCUGUAACUGACGCUGAGGAGCGAAAGCGUGGGGAGCGAACAGGAUUAGAUACCCGCGUAGUCCCUGUCUCUUAUAC